GCCUGGCUGGCUCAGUCGGUAGAGCAUAUGAUUUUUGAUCUCAGGGUCGUGAGUUUGAGCCCCUCAUUGGGCA
rnacentral:tRNA from 1 species